rnacentral:misc_RNA from 1 species
GAUGAAGAACGCAGCGAAAUGCGAUAAGUAAUGUGAAUUGCAGAAUUCAGUGAAUCAUCGAAUCUUUGAACGCACAUUGCGCCCGCCAGUAUUCUGGCGGGCAUGCCUGUUCGAGCGUCAUUACAACCCUCAGGCCCCCGGGCCUGGCGUUGGGGAUCGGCGGAGCCCCCCGUGGGCACACGCCGUCCCCCAAAUGCAGUGGCGGUCCCGCCGCAGCUUCCAUCGCGUAGUAGCUAACACCUCGCGACUGGAGAGCGGCGCGGCCACGCCGUAAAACACCCAACUCUUCUGAAGUUGACCUCGAAUCAGGUAGGAAUACCUGCUGAACUUAAGCAUAUCAAUAAGCGGAGGA